ACACUGCCGAGGAGUCCCACAAUAGGAUGAAACAGCCGUUCAGUGU
rnacentral:hammerhead_ribozyme from 1 species